GCUACCCAGUAGGAGGAAUCUUCACUCUUCUCCUCUACUGUUCAGUUAGACUUUUGGGUCUUUGAGGUCUGAGAUUUCUUCAGAGGGUAAAAGAAGUUAAUUCCCUUUUUUGUAUCACAAUGGCUACAGGAAACUGAAAAGUGGGUGGUUUAAACCUUUAUUUUUAUAGCUUGACACCAUCAAGGUGAUCAAAUUGUUUGCUUUUCUUUUUAGAGAGAGAAAUGGAUGGAGAUGGGGUUGUUUUAGGACUGGGGAAGAAAGAAUGUCCCUGUAUAUACAAUGACUGAAGAGGUGGGGUUCUUUUAGGACUGGGGAAGAAAGAGGCUGGUUCACCAGGUGGAGGUUGUUGGAGGUUCUUCACAGUCCCAGGAACAUAAAGGGUACUGGGAGCCCAGCAGCGGCCCUGUGAUGCAUUAGGAUUCUCUGUGGGUGCAGAGGAGAACAAAACAGCAUAGGCUUCACCCUGUGCUUGAACCUGGCAUGGGAGAGAGGAGGUGCCUGUCUUGGAAUGAUCUGCUUAGGCCCUCAAAAGGGGCAGACACCAGUAGUAACCACUGCAGACAGAUGACCACUCCACUUGACUACACCACCUUCUUCUUCUUCUUCUUUUUUCUUUUUAAGACAGAGUCUCACUCUGUUGCCCAGACUGGAGUGCAGUGGCAUGAUCUCGGCUCACUGCAACCUCUGCCUCCAGGAUUUAAGUGAUUUUCCUGCCUCAGCCUCCCAAGUAGGUAGGACUACAGGCAUACACGGCCACACCCGGCUAAUUUUUGAAUUUUAGUAGAGAUGGGGUUUCACCAUAUUGGCCAGGCUGGUCUCAAACUCCUGCCACAAGUGAUCUGCCCGCCUCGGCCUCCCAAAGUGCUGAGAUUACAGGCGUGAGCCACCACACAUAGCUGACUCCACCUUCUUCUAGAUUUAAUUUGGUUCAAAAAUAAGUAAAAGGUAUGACACAGACUGAAAAUAAUAGCGUGAGUCAUUCAUUUGGCAGGAAGCUAUGCUAUUUCAGGAACAAACAAGGACCGGUGACUACAGAAAGGAGGUCAUGGGAGGAUCAAGGGCAGGAGAGCAGCCAUGAUGGAAAUUCUUAAGAAGCAACUGACAGGGCUUGGAGCCCAGGGAAAUGUGGAGGUAAUGGAGGGACAUGAUUCAGAGGUUUCAUGCUAGAAUAACACAGAGAGUAGUAAUAACCAAAUGAAUCUUAAAGCUUAAUAUUAAGUUGAGCAUUAUUUUCCACACAAAGAAAAACAUGCAAAAUAAGUUAUAUUGCUUACAUGAGAGAAUCACAUACCAAAAUCCCAUCAGAGAGACAAGUAGGUCAUCAGGUUCAAAGAAUACCUAGACUUAUGAAGGCAAAAUGGAUAUCUUGCCUUGCUUCUAUUUUGAAUAAAUGUGCUACCAACGAUCCACCAUCAUGGAAUGACAUCUGAAAAAGGGAAAUCAUGGUGCUCGCUUCGGCAGCACAUACACUAAAAUCGGAAUGAUGUGGAGAAAGAUUAGCAUGGCCCCUGUGCAGAGGUAACCUGUAAAUUUGUGACACGUUCUCUAUUUUAUUUUUUAAAAAAGAAAAGCUUGUUGCCCAGAUCAAAACAAUACAAAACAAGAUUCUACCACUGCCACUGCCACAAAUGGUCACUCUUUCUUGCUAAAGUUCCCAACAGAAAUGAAUCCUUGGGCCAUUUCUUUUAAGUUACUUAGUCUGUAUAACAUCUCUGACUUUUGCAAUACUGAUAAGAGACAACCAUCAGUGAUAAUAUAACAGUGUGGAAAAAGGACUAUUUUCAUCAUUGAUGGACUAACUGCAACCUUGUAGCUCUGCUAUCCUUUCUACUGUGUGUGUGUGUGUGUGUGUGUGCAUUUCCUUCAAAUACCUCUAUUUCAUAUUUGGUGAACCAGUUUUCUAAAUCCAUAUUUUCUUGAAAAACUGCAAGUAAAAAAUAUUUUCUUCUUGCAGUGCUUCAUCCUGGAAGUCUUCUGUUAAGCAUUGUUGGGUACACCAAGGUAGCCCCAUGGACUCACUCAGGAGAACUCACAAACCUUGUUGCCCAAGAAAGGCACUCCUUGCAGAACGCUUGUGCAGAAAGGAGCUGGUGGGGAUUUCAUGGUGAGACAUUCUCACUCUGUGAUCCAGGGUGGAGUGCAGUGGUACAAUUUCAGCUGACUGUAAUCUUGUCCUCCUGGAUUCAAGCAAUUUUCAUGCCUCAGCCUCCUGAGUAGCUGAGAUUACAGCCAUAGGCUUUCAAAUUUACCUAGAAUCUGUCUUCCUUCUUACCAGAAUGUAACAGAGUAAAUCAAAUCUGUGAUAAUCAACAUGUCAGAGGUGUUACAUUUAAAGUGGAAAAUGGCUGUGGCAACACGAACCUUCUGGAUUGAUCACACCGGUCUCUUUUUCCCAGAAAGGGACCUGUUCAUCUCCACAUCUGCCCCCUUGCUCCUGCCAGAUUCAAAUAAAUAUUUCAUGAGAUGGCGUGAUUAAAAAAAAAUCUUCUUUUAUAACCUGCCUGUUUUAAUCGAUUAGAGAAUUAUUAAAAUAGAAAAAGAGAGAGAGAAGGAAUAAGAAGGGACCAGCUGGAGCCAGGGGAUCAAAUAGUUUCUAUGGGCAAGGAUAAGACAAA